GCGCCGCCACCUCCUGAUUCCAUUGCUGCCCCCAUCUAUUCCGCCUUGCCGUUGCCUCUCCUAGCCCUAGUGCCGUCGCCCUUGUUUCUCCCUUUGGUGCUGGUGCGAGUAAUCUUGUCAGGCUGUCUUCCGGUGGCUCCUGACUCCAUCAUCCCCAGUGCACCUCGCAAGUGUUGCUUGAACCAGGGAAUCUACGGGACAGAGGAGAAAGGACAAGCAGAGAGGAAGGGGAGUCUGAAUAUUUUUUCAAGCUCGUCAAGUUCUCUUCAAAUCUGAGUUCUUCCCUACAAGGUUAGCCUUCAAUUAGUCACUCGAUGCCUCUAGCAAGGACUGAAUGGAUAUAAUUAGCCAAAGAUUUUGCUUCGUACCGAUCGAUUUCUGUUGCAGGGGCUUUUAAGUUUAAAACUGGUAUUAAGGCGUCCAAAAUUUCAACAUCUCAACAAUACAAAAGUUGUAGGUUUCGUCGAUAUCUUUCCAAUGGCGCUGGUUUCAUUCAAUUCCGAUUAGCGGUUUAUGAGAUAUCAUCGAAACUGUGUCGCUGUUCCCUUUAGAAAAGUUGUGCGCAGAAACUGUUUAUCUAUUUUCGACUUAUUCAGAAGCUGAAUUUCCCCUGCGCCCUGUAACAAAAGUUGUAGAAAAUUUUCUGUAGAUGUUCAAGAUGUAUUUAUUGACUGCAUUUGGUUAAGUGAAUCAAAAGUUAUGGGCCAAACAGCGAGUAACUCAGAGAAUUAGUUGAAUUUUCAGAACUUGUGAGAGUUAAGGUUUUAGGCUUUUAGCUCCGGAUUUCUUCCGGUAUAUAGGCUUUUGGUCGAUAUGAACUGGUUCGUGAGAGUGGUUUAUUCCACAGGUUCGAUAAACUAUAGCAGCGAGGGCGUGGCGCCGGGUUCUCAACAAGGUUAAGGCAAGUGCACGACCAACUUGUUUGUUGGCAAGUUGCUUGCAAUUUCUUUUCUUAUGUUAUCCGAUUGCUUUAUCAAGUGUUUAUGAUAUCCAAAAUCAUGAUCUGUUCAUGUUUUCUGAUCCAUGAUUCCAGUUUCAAGAUAUUCUUUUAAAUUCCAUUCAUGUUCCGGUGUAUUCGGAUGUGCAAUUUGGUUCUUUUAUUCAUGUUCCUGUGAGUAAGUGCUGGACCCACUUGCUCGGCUUUACCGGUAAAUGCUAAGGAUGUUUCAAGUUGGGUCCGUUUCAGACGGAAACUACUAUUUCAUUGGUGUUCAUUCACUCAUGUUUCAUGGAUCGUUGUUGCUAUGUUAUUUCCAGUUCUAGUUGUGCUUGUUGAGUAUUCUUACUCACCCUUGUGUUUAAUUGGUUUUUAGGUACCAAAUGAUUGCGGCAUGCAUGGGAAGUGGGAGUAGCACUUUCUGCAAGAGAUUACACACACUUUUUUACAUUUUUAGUUGAUAUUGUCGAUUCCUAGAGUAUAAAUGGUUAAACUUGGCUGCCUUAUUCUUUCUAUGGUUGAGACGAACUUAGUUGGUCGGGUCAACUUAUUUCUUUUGGUGUUGGAUUGGGAUGUGAUGUUUAUUCAUCAUUCAUAUGCUAUUUCGAUAAUUCUUCAUAUAAACUGCUUAUCCAGUAUGACCUAUUUAUAGGGAGACUCUGUCGAAUUUCUGUUGAA